UCCCUCGGUGAAACUUUCUGAGAAGUUCCAUUCAUAGAUCUUCCACGAGGCUUUGGUUUACCUGUGUUGUCAAAUCGACCGCUGUGGCUGAUCAGCUCACCCAUCCCCGGACGCAGGAGCAGAGGAAGCAGUCUGCAGACACACUUGUCGCCCGAGCCGAUCAAGUGAUGUUUCUCCUUACUGUCGGGAGGGGAACCUCAUAACGAAAGCUUUUUCCGGGUGUGAGACUAUGUAAAUCGGUUCUGAUGAUUUCCCAAGCAGCUCUAAAAGCCACAAACCAAUUUUAGUUCCAUACUUGUGGCUUCAAUACAGCACGUGCAUCGGUUUACAAAACGACACCUUCUUGCAGGACCUGACAGCAUUGGCGUUUUAAAUUUUGCAAUCGGGAUUAAUUAAUCUGGAUUAAGAGCAGCCUUUAACUGGGAAGAUUAUUUAAUGUUCCUGUUGAGGCAGCAGUCAGGAGCUCACACACUGCUAAUCUGGUUUGAAGGCUUGUCACUUAAAUGGCUGGGCACUUUGGCAUCUUUGAACUGCUUUGAAAAACACAAAGGAUCAUGCUGUAAAAGUCUGGCAAACUGCCUUGCAAACAAACACACACAAAUAAACAAAACAUGACUGUUGAGAAAUAUAUGGCAGACUGCUUACUAUGUGCAGUUAUGUACUCAGACAGAGAGAUGAGAUAAGAGACGUCUGAACAAAAUCAAAAGCUCUUUAAAUCUGAAGCUCAUGCUCCUUCAUAGAACAUUGAUUGAUGUAAAACGUCCUGACAAAAACUGUUUGUUUGUAGGCAACCUGGAUAUUUCUUUUUCAGGUUAGGUGCAAUUCAGAGGUCUUAAAGAGCUACUUAAAAGUCAGCUGUGUCCCUUGUUUGUUUCUACUGGUGACAGUGUCUUAUUAUUUCAUACAUGGUUGUAUGAUUAAUGAGAGGUUUUGUGAAGGGGGAAUGGAUAAUGAAUUAAAUCUGCAAGGACCACAUCUUUUCUAAAGAUGAUCCUACACAAGUAACAUGUUAGUAAUUAUAAGUUAAAUCCCUUUUGUGCUGUGGUGUAAUUCUGUCUAUCACAUCCACUGAACUGUUAUUCUGCAAGAAAAUAUAUAUUUUUCAGUCAGAAAUUAAAUGCACUGUCUGUUCAACAUAAAAAAUUAACCAGAAAAUAGGUCUCUUUCAGACGUUUUUUUUUUCUGCGUGACCUUCAAGAAUUUAAGAUCAGACUUUACCAAUAGUCAAGUGUUACCUUGAGAAAUGAAAGAAACAGCUUUCUCCUGCAGUCAGUCUGCAGACACCUUACAAAUGUGAAAUUGUUUUCGUUCAGAUAAGAAUUUGAGAAUCUAUGUCAAUUUCUCCUCAGGUGUGCCAUAUCUUCAAGACAGCUCCUUUUCAUUUUGUUUAACGGUAACAGUGAAGAUUUUUAAAUGUGAUUCUCGCAGCUGAAGACCUGAAGUACUGUACAUAAUACAUUUAUGCAAAUACAAAUAUUUGGUUUAAUCUUCAUUUACAUGUAUUAGAUGAAGUACAGU